CAAAACUACGGUCUCAGUUCAGAUUGCAGGCUGCAACUCGCCUGCAUGAAGUUGGAAUUGCUAGUAAUCGCGAAUCAGAAUGUCGCGGUGAAUACGUUCCCGGGCCUUGUACACACCGCCCGUCACACCAUGAGAGUCGAUAACACCCGAAGCCUGUGAGCUAACCGUAAGGAGGCAGCAGUCGAAGGUGGGGUUGAUGAUUGGGGUGAAGUCGUAACAAGGUAGC
rnacentral:rRNA from 1 species